rnacentral:rRNA from 1 species
GAUGAACGCUAGCGGCAGGCCUAACACAUGCAAGUCGAGGGAGGAGCCUUCGGGCUUCGACCGGCGUACGGGUGCGUAACGCGUAUACAAUCUGCCUUUCACAUAGGGAUAGCCCGAAGAAAUUUGGAUUAAUACCUAAUGGUAUAUAGGGGUGGCAUCACCUUUAUAUUAAAGCUGAGGCGGUGAAAGAUGAGUAUGCGUUCUAUUAGCUAGUUGGAGAGGUAACGGCUCCCCAAGGCGACGAUAGAUAGGGGUUCUGAGAGGGAUAUCCCCCACACUGGUACUGAGAUACGGACCAGACUCCUACGGGGGGCAGCAGUGAGGAAUAUUGGACAAUGGUCGGAAGACUGAUCCAGCCAUGCCGCGUGCAGGAAGACGGCCUUAUGGGUUGUAAACUGCUUUUGCAGGGGAAGAAUAAGGACUACGCGUAGUUUGAUGACGGUACUCUGCGAAUAAGCAUCGGCUAACUCCGUGCCAGCAGCCGCGGUAAUACGGAGGAUGCGAGCGUUAUCCGGAAUCAUUGGGUUUAAAGGGUCCGUAGGCGGGCUAAUAAGUCAGAGGUGAAAGCGCUCAGCUCAACUGAGCAACUGCCUUUGAAACUGUUAGUCUUGAAUGGUUGUGAAGUAGUUGGAAUGUGUAGUGUAGCGGUGAAAUGCUUAGAUAUUACACAGAACACCGAUAGCGAAGGCAUAUUAUUAACAAUUAAUUGACGCUGAUGGACGAAAGCGUGGGGAGCGAACAGG